CACGUAGGGGGCAAGCGUUGUCCGGAAUCAUUGGGCGUAAAGAGCGUGUAGGCGGCCCGAUAAGUCCGCUGUGAAAGUCCAGGGCUCAACCCUGGGAUGCCGGUGGAUACUGUCGGGCUCGAGUCCGGAAGAGGAGUGUGGAAUUCCUGGUGUAGCGGUGAAAUGCGCAGAUAUCAGGAGGAACACCAAUGGCGAAGGCAGCACUCUGGGACGUGACUGACGCUGGGACGCGAAAGCGUGGGGAGCAAACAGG
rnacentral:rRNA from 1 species